CUUCUCCAGAGCUGGCAUCCUAGGGCCCCAGGGUUUGGCGCCCGGACCCCCGCUGCUCUCCGCUUGCUGGGAACCAGAGCUGUAGGCUUGGUGGCAGCUCCGAUGCUGCGUGGGGCAGGAGAUAGUGCCCUGACUCGCGGCUUGACCUUGGCUGGGCUGGGGCACUGCCCCUCUCCGAGCGCGGGUGCAAUCUGCCCAUUGAUGAAGGAGGGGUUGGAUUGCUACCUGGGUUCUAAGCGCCCACAUGCUACGUGUCCCUGAC
rnacentral:lncRNA from 1 species